GAAUAUAUAUCUCUUCAAUGGAUGUCCUUGAAAUGUUAUAGCAGAUAUGAAACCAUGACUGUAUGUCUUCUCACGUAAUUUCAAAAAAUUGGGAUUUCAAUUUCGGCUUUCAUUUUGACAUUAUAGCUUUUAUUGGUUGAUGUUAUUCUAUGGAUAUAUAAAGAAAAAGUUAUUGAGUUGGCCAUCGCUUAAUAUUAUCAUUGCCAUGGAAACGUUCUUUUGUAAGUAGCCAUUUUUAAAAUUGCCUGAAAUAUAUUCACAAGAACACAAGAUUUGUGUUUUUGAAGCUAUCAUUUGAAAUAUUACAAUGGUUGAUCUCCAGCCAGUAGUAAAGAGUUGUGGCUAUAACGUCUGCAAAGAGAGUUCUUUCACAAGAAUAUUGAGUUUAACCAGAUGAUUUCGAAUAAAAUUGUGGAGCGGCAAUUCCUAAUAAUAGCUCAUGGGCUGUUGUCGUGUCACGCUUUUUGCGAAAAAUGCCGGUCAAGAGUAUCUGCGGACUUUGAAAUCUUUUUAGAUGCCGCUAUUAUUUAAAAUGUAAGUAACUUACGAACUUUUAUAACUUGAAAUAUUGUUCUUUCGGAAAAGUUCGCUUGUUUUUUUUUUCAAUUCAUUUGCAGAUUACAAUGGUUGAUCUCCUGCCAGUAGUAAAGAGUUCUGGCUAUAACGUUUGCAAAGAGAGUUCUUUCACGAAUAUUGAGUUUAACCAGAUGAUUUUGAAUAAAGUUGUGGGGCGGCAAUUCCUUAUAGCUCAUGGGCUGUUGUCGUGUCACGCUUUUUGCGAAAAAUGCCGGUCAAGAGUAUCUGCGGACUUUGAAAUCUUUUUAGAUGCCGUAAAGUGAUUUUUAAGCCAGAGCAUCUUUUGACAUAAGCCGACUCAACAAGGAUUGGAAGUUGGUUUCAAUGUCGUCACCAAUUGCAAGAAAAUGAUUGAAGUGGUUGGGAGACAGUGAAGAAAUGCAAAAAAAUUUCAUAUCUGCUAGACGUAACAAUAAAAGAAAUUUC